rnacentral:tRNA from 1 species
GGGGAAAUAGCUCAGUCGGUUAGAGUGCUAGUCUAUCACACCAGAAGUCACAGGUUUGAACCCCAUUUUUCCCA